UGGCUCAUUAUAUAAGUUAUCGUUUAUUUGAUAGCACCUUACUACUUGGAUAACCGUGGUAAUUCUAGAGCUAAUACAUGCUAAAAAUCCCGACUUCGGAAGGGAUGUAUUUAUUAGAUUAAAAACCAAUGCCUUUUGGCUUUUUGGUGAUUCAUGAUAACUUCUCGAAUCGCAUGGCCUUGCGCCGGCGAUGGUUCAUUCAAAUUUCUUCCCUAUCAACUUUCGAUGCGAAGGUCUUGUCUUCGCAUGGUUACAACGGGUAACGGAGGGUUAGGGCUCGACCCCGGAGAGGGAGCCUGAGAAAUGGCUACCACUUUUAAGGAAGGCAGCAGGCGCGCAAAUUACCCAAUCCCGACACGGGGAGGUAGUGACAAUAAAUACUGAUACAGGGCUCUUAUGGGUCUUGUAAUCGGAAUGAGUACAAUUUAAAUCCCUUAACGAGGAACAAUUGGAGGGCAAGUCUGGUGCCAGCAGCCGCGGUAAUUCCAGCUCCAAUAGCGUAUAUUAAAGUUGUUGUGGUUAAAAAGCUCGUAGUUGAACCUUGGGCCUGGCUGGCCGGUCCCCCUCACCGGGUGCACUGGUCCGGCCGGGUCUUUCCCUCUAUGGAACCUCAUGCUCUUUACUGAGUGUGACGGGGAAAUAGGACUUUUACUUUGAAAAAAUUAGAGUGCUCCAGGCAGGCCUAUGCUCGAAUAGUACAGCAUGGAAUAAUAGAAUAGGACGUGUGGUUCUAUUUUGUUGGUUUCUAGGACCGCCGUAAUGAUUAAUAGGGACAGUCGGGGGCAUCAGUAUUCAGCUGUCAGAGGUGAAAUUCUUGGAUCUGCUGAAGACUAACUACUGCGAAAGCAUUUGCCAAGGAUGUUUUCAUUGAUAAGGAACGAAAGUUAGGGGAUCGAAGACGAUCAGAUACCGUCGUAGUCUUAACCAUAAACUAUGCCGACUAGGGAUCGGACGAUGUUAUUUUUUUGACUCGUUCGGCACCUUUCGAGAAAUCAAA
rnacentral:rRNA from 1 species